rnacentral:rRNA from 1 species
UCUACCAUGCAGUCGACGGAGGUUACUUUGAAACGCAAGUCGAUAAAUAACCUUAGUGGCGGACGGGUGAGUAACGCGUGGAUAACCUGCCUGACUGACCGGGACAACACUUGGAAACGGGUGCUAAUACCGGAUACGCUCAUAAAGACACAAGUCUUAAUGAGGAAAGGGGAAACCCGCAGACAGAUGGGUCCGCGUCCCAUUAGCUAGUUGGAGGUGUAAUGGACCCCCAAGGCGACGAUGGGUAGCCGGCCUGAGAGGGUGAACGGCCACACUGGAACUGAGACACGGUCCAGACUCCUACGGGAGGCAGCAGUGGGGAAUCUUCCGCAAUGGGCGAAAGCCUGACGGAGCAACGCCGCGUGAGUGAAGAAUGCCUUCGGGUUGUAAAACUCUGUCUUCAGGGAAGAAACAAAUGACGGUACCUGAGGAGGAAGCCCCGGCUAACUACGUGCCAGCAGCCGCGGUAAAACGUAGGGGGCGAGCGUUGUCCGGAAUUACUGGGCGUAAAGGGCGCGUAGGCGGUUAUCCAAGUCAGGGGUGAAAACUCUGGGCUCAACUCAGAGCCUGCCUCUGAAACUGGGUGACUUGAGGGCAGGAGAGGGGAGUGGAAUUCCCAGUGUAGCGGUGAAAUGCGUAGAUAUUGGGAGGAACACCAGUGGCGAAGGCGGCUCUCUGGCCUAACCCUGACGCUGAGGCGCGAAAGCGUGGGGAUCAAACAGGAUUAGAUACCCUGGU